ACUUGACAGUCUGGAGGAAACGCCUGUGUCUAAAUCAACUGAAGGUGUAGUUGAAAAUCUUGAUGAUGUUAUCCGGGCAAUUGGGGAUGCUGUAACCAAGGAUGACAAAACAUUUGACAUCAUAGUGUCACGACAAAACAUGUUGGAGAGGGGCCUUGUGCAGUGGCAGCGGCAAAAAAAACAUCUACUAACCAGCUUCAAGUUACCUUUUUAGGAGAAGCUGGUGUUGACACUGGGGCUCUCCGUAAACAGUUUCUGACAGGGAUGGUGGCGGGCAUUGAGGAACGGUUCUUUGAGAAGGGCACACAUGGCCGUAGACCUAAAUACUCAAUGUCUGAUUUGGACAAAG